AACCUGGUUGAUCCUGCCAGUUGUGAUAUGCUUGUCUCAAAGAUUAAGCCAUGCAUGUCUAAGAAUAGGGUUUUCUCUACUCUGAAUCUGCGAACGGCUCAUUAAAUCAGUAAUUAUCUAUUUGAUCAUUAUGUUUUUUACUUGGAUACCCUCAGUAAAGCCGAGAUCAAUACAUGCGCGCUAAGAGGAUUAUGUAGGUUUGUGGUGUAAAAGCUCAGCCUAUAUUAUUCUUUUGGUGGUGUUUCUCACCACCAGUAUUUAUUGGAUUUCCUAGACCAGCCCACGCUCUUCAUCUUUGGUGAAUGGCGUGGUAUUUUGGUGACUCACGAUAACUUUACGAAUCGCACCAUACACGACUAUCUAGUUGUGUGGCGAUGUUUCAUUCGAAUUUCUGCCCUAUCAACUUUGAUGGUAGGAUCGAGGCCUACCAUGGUGGUGACGGGUGACGGGAGAUCUGCGUUUGACUCCGGAGAGGGAGCCUGAGAGACGGCUACCACAUCCAAGGAAGGCAGCAGGCGCGCAAAUUGCCCAAUCCUGACACAGGGAGGCAGUGACAAAAAAUAACAAGAACCUGGGAUUACUUUCUGGGUUCAUUGGAAUGAGUACAAUGUAAACGCCUUAACGAGGAUCGAUUGGAGGGCAGGUCGGGUGCCAGCAGCCGCGGUAAUUCCUGCUCCAAGAGUUUAUAUAUGUGUUGCUGCAGUUGAAAAGCUCGUAGUUGGAUUUUGAAUGAUAGUGGUGGGGAUCAAAUGGUCGUUUUGCUGCCGUACUUCUGUAUGUGUCAGCGAUUCUGUACUGCCCCGCUCGUCUACAAUUUGUCUUCUUGGGAGCAGGAGGGCAUCAUGUCCUCCUACACCUCAAAGAAGAUCUUAUGUUACUUUGAGUAAAUCUGAGUGUUCAAAGCAGACUGACAAUAUCGAAUCAGUCUUGGAAGCGCUAGCAUGGAAUAACGUGAUAGGACUCCGGUGGCCGUUCUGCGUUGGUCUAAGCCGUUCCGGGGUAAUGACUAAGAGGGACCGUCGGGGGCACUCGUACUUCCUUGUCAGAGGUGAAAUUCUUGGAUUUAGGAAAGACGGACCACUGCGAAAGCAUUUGCCAAGGAUGUUUUCAUUAAUCAAGAACGAAAGUUGGGGGCUCGAAGAUGAUUAGAGACCGUUGUAGUCCCAUGACCGUAAACGAUGCCGACUGGGGAUCUGGGGGUUUAUAGAUUGACGUACGAGCGAGACUUGUUCUCGCUCCAUCGUCCCCCCAGGCACCCUCCGAGAAAUCAAAGUGUAUGGGUUCCGGGGGGAGUAUGGUCGCAAGGCUUAAACUUGAAGGAAUUGACGGAAGGGCACCACAAGGCGUGGAGCUGCGGCUCAACUUGACUCAACACGGGGAAACUUACCAGGUCCAGACAUAGUGAGGAUUGACAGAUGAAGUAGUGAUGGUAACUUUUUGUUAUUAUUACGCUUAUUAUUGAGAGCUCUUUCGAGAUUCUAUGGGUGGUGGUGCAUGGCCGUUCGUAGUUGGUGGGUUAUCUUGUCAGGUUUAUUCCGGUAACGAACGAGACCUCAGCCUGCUAAAUAACGGGGCUCACGGGGUAUAUUUCUGUGGGCAUUUUCCGUUUCUUAGAGGGACUCCUGGCAUCUUCCAAGCCAGUGGAAGCUUGAGGCAAAAACAGGUCUGUGAUGCCCUUAGAUGUUCUGGGCCGCACGCGCGCUACACUGAUGCAUGCAACGAGCAGUAAUGAUUUUAGGUUGGUUGGGGUUCUACUCCUCCCCAUCUCAGAAUCCUCCUGGGCUGUGAAGCACUCCGGGUACUCUUGUGAACCUGCAUCGUGACGGGGCUAGAUCUUUGCAAUUAUGGAUCUUCAACGAGGAAUGCCUAGUAGGCGUUGGUCAUCAGCCAGCGUCGAUUACGUCCCUGCCCUUUGUACACACCGCCCGUCGCUUCUACCGAUUGGACGCUGCGGUGAAGACCUGGGAUUGGAGGUUGAUAUUUGUGAGGAGGAGUGUCUGGUCUCUGCCCGCUCUCCGCCUCCUAGGCCUCCGAGAACUCGUCUGAACCCCAUCGUCUAGAGGAAUAAGAAGUCGUAACAAGGUUUCCGUAGGUGAACCUGCAGAAGGAUCA
rnacentral:rRNA from 1 species